rnacentral:rRNA from 1 species
UACGUAGGGGCCGAGCGUUGUCCGGAGUUAUUGGGCGUAAAGCGCGCGCAGGCGGCUUGGCGCGCCCGACGUGAAAGCCCCCCGGCUUAACCGGGGAGAGUCGUCGGGGACGGCCGGGGCUUGAGGGCGGGAGAGGGUGGUGGAAUUCCGGGUGUAGUGGUGAAAUGCGUAGAGAUCCGGAGGAACCCCAGAGGCGAAGGCGGCGCUCUGGCUCGCAACUGGACGCUCAGACACGACAGCAUGGGGGAGCGAACGGGG